CCAGAGAUGGAUGGUUCCCUUCGGGGACGCAGUGACAGGUGCUGCAUGGCUGUCGUCAGCUCGUGUCGUGAGAUGUUCGGUUAAGUCCGGCAACGAGCGCAACCCACAUCUUCAGUUGCCAGCAGUUCGGCUGGGCACUCUAAAGAAACUGCCCGUGAUAAGCGGGAGGAAGGUGUGGAUGACGUCAAGUCCUCAUGGCCCUUACGGGUUGGGCUACACACGUGCUACAAUGG
rnacentral:rRNA from 1 species